AAACCAAUCCUAAUUCUCCAAAGCUAAGAGACUACAUGUAGAUUAAUACCAAAUGGUUGAGAAACUUGCGAAUCUUUCUCCUGAACAUAUUCUCUUUACGCUUUACUAAAUUCACCGUAAUCUUCUUGGAGCUAUGAUCCUCCUCCUCCGACGCGAAGGAACCGACAAAGAUCUUAAUCGCCGGAAUAUCUACGUCUGUACCUGUCGCCUUGACUUCUUCGCUGGAGAAGAUCAUGUCGUUGCCGUAAGAGAUCUGAAGACCACGUCCCAACAGCUCGUGGCAUGGUUGGCGUUUGAAAGGAGCCGUCGUCGUUAACGGACGUCUAGGGAAAUGACGAUUGAUCGGAUGGAAGUUGACGAAAUUCACCGGCACUGUGACCUCAUCGGAUUCGGAAAGGCUUGGGUUUGUGGAAUCUGGAUCGGGUUCGGCUGAUGAAGUGGUGGUUAGGCUUUUGUCGAUGAUGUCAUUUCCCGGCGUUGAAGAAGCGACGGAGAGAGCCAACGUGAACAAAAGAACGGUGACGGUAACGGUAACGGUAACGGUAGCGGUGGGGGAGGCCAUUGUUUUGGGAAGAAGGAAAUCUGAAUUGUCAAAG